GCCAACCAUGCACGAAGCCCUGGGUUUGACCCCCAGCACUGCCAAAUAAAUAAUACAUAAAUAGGUUUCACUUGGUGACAUGAGGAGCCAUUCAUCAUCUGGAGCAAGAGCAUGGACAGGACCCUAACUUGGGACUACUGCAGCCUUGAGGGAGUCCAGCUGGAAGGGGCAACAGCAGAGGAGGAGCAGUGCUCGAUUCACUCACAGCCCAGUCUCGUGUCCCAACUGUGUGCAGGGUCCACUCCAUCCAGGCCUGGCUAAGCCAGGGCUCCGAAGACGGACCAGUGCCCAAAUAAGCCACAGGGUUUCCUUCACCUCCUGAGCUUGACCUGGUUCCCAUCUCCUGCCCUGUCCAUGUCCAGGCUGUGUCCUACCAUACUGGCUCCAGAGUGUCCUGGUGUAGAAGGAAAAAAUCUCUGUUCCACUCAGUGCCUGGGAGCAUGCUGGGCAUGAAAGGUGGAAGGCAUGUCACAUAACCAGAUAAUGGCAGCUGCAGUCACUAUGAUAUUGAUGAGGGUAGAGGCAACUGGUGGUACAGUAGUCUGUUUUUGUAUUACUGUAACAAAACAACUGAGGCAGGCUAUUUAA